rnacentral:rRNA from 1 species
GACGAACGCUGGCGGCGUGCUUAACACAUGCAAGUCGAACGGAAAGGCCCUGCUUUUGUGGGGUGCUCGAGUGGCGAACGGGUGAGUAACACGUGAGUAACCUGCCCUUGACUUUGGGAUAACUUCAGGAAGCUGGGGCUAAUACCGGAUAGGAGCUCCUGCUGCAUGGUGGGGGUUGGAAAGUUUCGGCGGUUGGGGAUGGACUCGCGGCUUAUCAGCUUGUUGGUGGGGUAGUGGCUUACCAAGGCUUUGACGGGUAGCCGGCCUGAGAGGGUGACCGGCCACAUUGGGACUGAGAUACGGCCCAGACUCCUACGGGAGGCAGCAGUGGGGAAUAUUGCACAAUGGGCGGAAGCCUGAUGCAGCAACGCCGCGUACGGGAUGACGGCCUUCGGGUUGUAAACCGCUUUCGCCUGUGACGAAGCGUGAGUGACGGUAAUGGGUAAAGAAGCACCGGCUAACUACGUG